UGUAUCCAAAGGAUUAGUCCUCAAAUAAAUGCAUAGUUCAACUCUAGGAUACGUCCAAUGCGAACAACCAUACCAUCAUUAAGUCUUUCGCUCCUAUAUGAUGGAACAC
rnacentral:snoRNA from 1 species